rnacentral:rRNA from 1 species
AUGGGCGAAAGCCUGAUCCAGCCAUGCCGCGUGCAGGAUGAAGGCCUUCGGGUUGUAAACUGCUUUUGUACGGAACGAAAAGCCUCUUUCUAAUAAAGAGGGGUCAUGACGGUACCGUAAGAAUAAGCACCGGCUAACUACGUGCCAGCAGCCGCGGUAAUACGUAGGGUGCAAGCGUUAAUCGGAAUUACUGGGCGUAAAGCGUGCGCAGGCGGUUUUGUAAGACAGAGGUGAAAUCCCCGGGCUCAACCUGGGAACUGCCUUUGUGACUGCAAGGCUGGAGUGCGGCAGAGGGGGAUGGAAUUCCGCGUGUAGCAGUGAAAUGCGUAGAUAUGCGGAGGAACACCGAUGGCGAAGGCAAUCCCCUGGGCCUGCACUGACGCUCAUGCACGAAAGCGUGGGGAGCAAACAGGAUUAGAUACCCUGGUAGUCCACGCCCUAAACGAUGUCAACUGGUUGUUGGGUCUU